CCCGAUAGGACUAUCCACCUGGAAUGGUUUGUGUUCCAAAUGAUUUAUCGCCGUAGGAUGGGACUGCGGCCUAUCAGUUUGUUGGUGAGGUAAUGGCCCACCAAGACUAUUACAGGUACGGGCUCUGAGAGGAGUAGCCCGGAGAUGGGUACUGAGACACGGACCCAGGCCCUAUGGGCGCAGCAGGCGAGAAAACUUUGCAAUGUGCGAAAGCACGACAAGGUUAAUCCGAGUGAUUUCUGCUAAAGAAAUCUUUUGUUAGUCCUAGAAACACUAACGAAUAAGGGGUGGGCAAGUUCUGGUGUCAGCCGCCGCGGUAAAACCAGCACCUCAAGUGGUCAGGAUGAUUAUUGGGCCUAAAGCAUCCGUAGCCGGCUCUGUAAGUUUUCGGUUAAAUCUGUACGCUCAACGUACAGGCUGCCGGGAAUACUGCAGAGCUAGGGAGUGGGAGAGGUAGACGGUACUCGGGAGGAAGUGGUAAAAUGCUUUGAUCUCUCGAUGACCACCUGUGGCGAAGGCGGUCUACCAGAACACGUCCGACGGUGAGGGAUGAAAGCUGGGGGAGCAAACCGGAUUAGAUACCCGGGUAGUCCCAGCUGUAAACUAUGCAAACUCAGUGAUGCAUUGGCUUGUGGCCAAUGCAGUAUUGCAGGGAAGCCGUUAAGUUUGCCGCCUGGGAAGUACGUACGCAAGUAUGAAACUUAAAGGAAUUGGCGGGGGAGCACCACAAGGGGUGAAGCCUGCGGUUCAAUUGGAGUCAACGCCGGAAAUCUUACCCGGAGAGACAGCAGAAUGAAGGUCAAGCUGAAGACUUUACCAGACAAGCUGAGAGGUGGUGCAUGGCCGUCGCCAGCUCGUGCCGUGAGAUGUCCUGUUAAGUCAGGUAACGAGCGAGAUCC
rnacentral:rRNA from 1 species